rnacentral:pre_miRNA from 1 species
UCUUAUGCAUGAGCAAAGAAAGUGGUUUCUUGAGGUGGAAUCUACUGCCGGUGAGGCCUCUGUGAA